CCCAGACUCCUACGGGAGGCAGCAGUGGGGAAUAUUGGACAAUGGGCGCAAGCCUGAUCCAGCAAUGCCGCGUGUGUGAAGAAGGUCUUCGGAUCGUAAAGCACUUUCGACGGGGACGAUGAUGACGGUACCCGUAGAAGAAGCCCCGGCUAACUUCGUGCCAGCAGCCGCGGUAAUACGAAGGGGGCUAGCGUUACUCGGAAUUGCUGGGCGUAAAGGGCGCGUAGGCGGCGCUCCAAGUUAGGCGUGAAAGUCCUGGGCUCAACCUGGGAACUGCGCUUAAGACUGGAGUGCUUGAGGAUGGAAGAGGGUCGUGGAAUUCCCAGUGUAGAGGUGAAAUUCGUAGAUAUUGGGAAGAACACCGGUGGCGAAGGCGGCGACCUGGUCCAUUACUGACGCUGAGGCGCGACAG
rnacentral:rRNA from 1 species